rnacentral:rRNA from 1 species
UACGGGGGAUGCAAGCGUUAUCCGGAUUUAUUGGGCGUAAAGCGCCUGUAGGUUGUUUAAUAAGUCUGUUGUUAAAGACUAGGGCUUAACCCUAGGAAAGCAAUGGAAACUACUAGACUUGAGUAUGAUAGGGGUAGAGGGAAUUUCUAGUGUAGCGGUGAAAUGCGUAGAUAUUAGAAAGAACACCGGUGGCGAAGGCGCUCUACUGGAUCAUUACUGACACUCAGAGGCGAAAGCUAGGGUAGCAAAAGGGAUUAGAUACCCCAGUAGUCCUAGCCGUAAACGAUGGAUACUAAACAUUGCGUGCUCGCCGUGGUGUUAUAGCUAACGCGUUAAGUAUCCCGCCUGGGGAGUAUGCUCGCAAGGGUG